rnacentral:rRNA from 1 species
UACGGGGGGGGCAAGCGUUGUUCGGAAUUACUGGGCGUAAAGGGCGCGUAGGCGGCCACCGCAAGUCGACUGUGAACUCUCCGGGCUUAACCCGGAAAGGUCAGCCGAUACUGCGGGGCUAGAGUGCAGAAGGGGCAACUGGAAUUCUCGGUGUAGCGGUGAAAUGCGUAGAUAUCGAGAGGAACACCUGCGGCGAAGGCGGGUUGCUGGGCUGACACUGACGCUGAUGCGCGAAAGCUAGGGGAGCGAACGGG